GACCCAAGUUCAAGAAAGCGCCGUUUAGAUCACUCAGUUACUGAUACACCAUUGCGGAGGUCUCCACGAAAAUUAGCCGCCACCAAGAGGAGAAAGUAAUCUUCUUACAAAGAAGACCGAAGUUACUGCAUCGCAUCAGAAACUCCACUAGACUGUGUUGCCGACUGGUGUUGUUUACCGUGCCUUAUCAUGUGACAUUUUU